GACGAACGCUGGCGGCGUGCUUAACACAUGCAAGUCGAGCGGAAAGGCCCUGCUUUUGUUGGUUGCUCGAGUGGCGAACGGGUGAGUAACACGUGAGUAACCUGCCCUUGACUUUGGGAUAACUUCAGGAAACUGGGGCUAAUACCGGAUAGAAGCUCCUGCUGCAUGGUGGGGGUUGGAAAGUUUCGGCGGUUGGGGAUGGACUCGCGGCUUAUCAGCUUGUUGGUGGGGUAGUGGCUUACCAAGGCUUUGACGGGUAGCCGGCCUGAGAGGGUGACCGGCCACAUUGGGACUGAGAUACGGCCCAGACUCCUACGGGAGGCAGCAGUGGGGAAUAUUGCACAAUGGGCGGAAGCCUGAUGCAGCAACGCCGCGUGCGGGAUGACGGCCUUCGGGUUGUAAACCGCUUUCGCCUGUGACGAAGCGUGAGUGACGGUAAUGGGUAAAGAAGCACCGGCUAACUACGUG
rnacentral:rRNA from 1 species